UGGAAAUGUGAGCUGACGGACCAUUGUUAACGGAUACUACAUUAACAUCUAUACGAAAGUAGUACAAUAACAAGUAGAAAAUACAUUUUGGAUCGAAGCUGACUGAUUCACGCUCAUAAGACAUUGCAAGAUGUCAUACACUUACCGACUACUAUUAAUAUAUAAUGGCAUUAGCUGAAUCCCUAACCCUAUUAUUAAAGAGACGAAUGCCUACACAAGUUUAUUAUGGCCCUAUUAAAGAAAUUAGAUCAAGCUAGAGAUAAGCUGGAAAACAGAAACGAGGUAUAGCCCACGGAUUAAGAAGUCUACUGGAGUAUGACAGUAACCGCAAACAAGGAUCCCAAUUAAAACCAAGAAGGGCAAACAACAAGAAUUAACUCUGUACAGAUUCAAUUCUGUACGUAAUGCAUACCAAAGAUAUAUAAAAGGGUUUUUUCGUGUACGGAUUGUAAACCUCCUUUGAACACACUUGGUGAAACGAAAAACUUCUAAAUUAAGUUAUUAAAUUUAACAGGCAUUAAUGGCAUCAUUUUCGUCUUAAAAGAUUACUUGAUAUCAUAUUUUCGUAUGCAAGGAAUAAAUCAAUUCAUCAGCAUAAAUUAAUCCUAAAGAUUGAGACAGUAUCAAGGGAAAGUCAUUCAUGACAGGAAGGGAGAGUAGCCGACCUAAAUGACUACCUUGAGAUACUCCAGAAGUCACCUGAAUACAUUAAGAAAACGUAUUUCUAAAAAGAUUCUUUGUCUUCUGUUACGCAAAUAGCCAAGAAAGCAUGUCUUCGGACGCAGUAGGGAGGGAUUAAAUGAGUCGAAAUUCUUACUGAGUAAACUCAAGAGGGCUAGUAGUUGUCAAUCUAUGAUUCAAAAUCCCAUAAUAGGGCUUCAAUAUAGCGGAUAAUUUGGAUAUACUUCUGUAAUUAUCGACCUCGGAUGAACUCUUGUAUUAUAAAAAGGGAUAUUUACAGACAACACAAAUAGUUUUAAAAUCGGUUUAAAUAACGCUGCAGCACAGUACCUGAGCACACAAGCGGAAACACCAUCAGGGUCCGAUAGGCUUGAUUGUGUUAAGGCCACCGAGUCGCGAACUUUCAGUACUAAAAGGAUAUAAGAUGUAUAUGACUUUUGGAACUGAUGAGAAGUAGGUAGUUUAAAAGAACAGCUCAACAGUUCCUGGAUCAGUAUUUUAGCUCUCAUCUUUAAACUCACCGAAUAUGGCAAAUAGAUGUCUUACGAUUAAAAUGAACAUACAUUGAAUUAUGUGCGAACUGAAGGCGAACGUAAUUCUUAAGUAUUUGAAAUUUCGCGUAUAAAAGUUUGAUUUAACCGCUGCAUUACUGAAGGAAUUAGAGUUUUUCCCGAUUUAUUAAGUUUUUAAUUACCUUCUACUUCACAUAUUACAAUAUCAAUAGUUCUCUUGAGGGAGGCCUACCAGACCUCACUAGAUGACAAAGAGCGACGCAGAUGUCAAACAGCGAGUGCGAGCUAUCAUAAAAUAGUUUAAUGGCAACAUCAAUGUCUGUAGUUGGGACUAAGUUGGCUGAAAGGGAUCUUCAGGAAGGAUAUGCUUCCAACAGAUAUGCUUUCUUGGCACCACCCCAUAAGGCCGAAGACAUAGGACUAUCGAAUCAGUGGCUGAGCAGCCCAUUUCAUCUCUAGAAGGAAACCGAAAAAUGCAAAGAACAAUGCCCCCACAUCGUGCUGAUUAGAAUAGACGACGUCCAACUUGGGUAGGACUAUGUGGCUCCUAGCCAAUAAUGUGCCCACCUACAGGGACAUCGUACAGAAACUGGAAGAAUAAAAAAUUAAGUUAUACUUAUAUCAGCUGCAGGAGGAUAAGCCCUAUCGCAUAGUAACCACGGAGGCCUGUGGUGGACCACUCCACACCGAGGGUUCAUCACCUGCAGAGCCAGGGUCAUACCGUUCUCUACGUACACUAUCCGAACAGCAGUCACCAAGGGGCCCAUGAAUAUUCACUUUUUUAACUUGCUGUCGGCGGCUAACAGCAAGGGGGCUCUUACCAUCAGGAAGCUGUGCAGCAGGUGGUCAAGUUCGAGACUACUCGAAGCCGGGAUGUGGUGCAAUGCCAUAGAUCUCAGGAGUACGGGCAUACGGCCACAUACUGUGGGAAAAAACACAAAUGCGUUAAAUGUAAGCUGGAUCAUCGAACUGCUGAUUGCGCACGGCUCAAUGAAGUUUCGGCAACAUGCGCCCACUGUGAUGGUAACCACCCUGCCAACUAUAAGGACUGCGAGUGCUUCGCUGAAUAUAUAAUGCGAUAGCCCUAACAGCCGCUGCCACCAGAAGGGGACUAGCUGCAUUCAGCAAAGAGAACAACGCCCCAGCUAUAGCCUGCGAAAAGGACCAGUGCACGCGACUUUUGAUUGCUGAAUGAAUAUUGACUCCUUAUAACCUGCAGCAACCCGUUAGGCCCAAAGGGUAAAUGUUUGGCAAGCCCGUACACUUGCAUAUCACAGUACCUGAGCACACAAGCGGAAACACCAUCAGGGUCCGAUAGGCUUGAUUGUGUUAAGGCCGCCGAGUCGCGAACUUUCAGUACUAAAAGGAUAUAAGAUGUAUAUGACUUUUGGAACUGAUGAGAAUUCUCUUGAGGGAGACCUACCAGACCUCACUAGAUGACAAAGAGCGACGCAGAUGUCAAACAGCGAGUGCGAGCUAUCAUAAAAUAGUUUAAUGGCAACAUCAAUGUCUGUAGUUGGGACUAAGUUGGCUGAAAGGGAUCUUCAGGAAGGAUAUGCUUCCAACAGAUAUGCUUUCUUGGCACCACCCCAUAAGGCCGAAGACAUAGGACUAUCGAAUCAGUGGCUGAGCAGCCCAUUUCAUCUCUAGAAGGAAACCGAAAAAUGCAAAGAACAAUGCCCCCACAUCGUGCUGAUUAGAAUAGACGACGUCCAACUUGGGUAGGACUAUGUGGCUCCUAGCCAAUAAUGUGCCCACCUACAGGGACAUCGUACAGAAACUGGAAGAAUAAAAAAUUAAGUUAUACUUAUAUCAGCUGCAGGAGGAUAAGCCCUAUCGCAUAGUAACCACGGAGGCCUGUGGUGGACCACUCCACACCGAGGGCUCAUCACCUGCAGAGCCAGGGUCAUACCGUUCUCUACGUACACUAUCCGAACAGCAAAGUCACCAAGGGGCCCAUGAAUAUUCACUUUUUUAACUUGCUGUCGGCGGCUAACAGCAAGGGGGCUCUUACCAUCAGGAAGCUGUGCAGCAGGUGGUCAAGUUCGAGACUACUCGAAGCCGGGAUGUGGUGCAAUGCCAUAGAUCUCAGGAGUACGGGCAUACGGCCACAUACUGUGGGAAAAAACACAAAUGCGUUAAAUGUAAGCUGGAUCAUCGAACUGCUGAUUACGCACGGCUCAAUGAAGUUUCGGCAACAUGCGCCCACUGUGAUGGUAACCACCCUGCCAACUAUAAGGACUGCGAGUGCUUCGCUGAAUAUAUAAUGCGGUAGCCCUAACAGCCGCUGCCACCAGAAGGGGACUAGCUGCAUUCAGCAAAGAGAACAACGCCCCAGCUAUAGCCUGCGAAAAGGACCAGUGCACGCGACUUUUGAUUGCUGAAUGAAUAUUGACUCCUUAUAACCUGCAGCAACCCGUUGGGCCCAAAGGGUAAAUGUUUGGCAAGCCCGUACACUUGUAUAUGUAGGUUAACUGACUGAUCACUUAAAUGAUUUUAUGAGUAGCGGGUCUUUAUGCAAAAAUUAAAACCUUUAAAAUAUUCAAAUAUACCAAACAAAAACAAGUAAGAGGUUCUAGUCGGAAGAUCCCGUUUAGGGGAUACUCUGAACUCUCUUAUUCCAACACCAAAUGCAGCUCGCGCUACGCGCUCGUUUGUAUUAAAAAGGAUAAUAUAAAAAAAUGUUACAUUGCUUGCUGACGACUCACCAGCCAAAAAAAAAAGUUUCUCCGGUUGGGCUCGAGCUCGCGACAGACCGCACCACAUGCCACCGCCUCUACUCAAAAGCCACACCAAAAGUUGAAUUUCAGUGAGAAAAAACGAAUUUAAAUGGCAGCACAGAAAACAAUACAAUGGGAAUUACAAUGAUAGAAUUCAAAUUAUAUCUAUUUUAUAGUAUAUAAUUAUAGUAUUAAUAAUUUUAUUGCCUUAUAUUAAUAAGCUUUUUCAUUCACUGUUCAAUUCCAGCCCGAGGUAAUGAACACGAACAUAAUUAAAUUUUAUGUUGCACCUAUGAACUGUUCAUUCACACCAUUUCGUGUGUGUGUCUCUGUUUAGAGCUCGAAAUUCAGAAACCCCAAAAACUUCAUAUCUUGUCGAAGUCAGGUAACAGGUACAUAUGUAUAAAUGUUUCUAUUCAUAAACAAAAUAAGUGUGUGUGCUGGAAUAGCAGGUCCAAGGAAUAUUAAAUGCACACAUUCCAACGCUCAGGUACCCUUACUAUCGAUACCGAGCAUAAAUACAAGAACUUCGCAACGACAUGGCACAACCCUUCAUUAUUUCAUAUAACUCGUCCCUUCAAAAGGGCAGAAAUGAUUCCGACAUUAGAUAAAAAAUUGAAUUUGUGUGUAUUGUUGCUCGUGCGGAAACAUACACACACAUACAUAAUGAAGUAGCACUGAGAGUAAGACAAUGCAGUUUCCUGAAGUGGGGUCGAAAUAAAAAAUGGCGAUGCCUUUCUAUUGCACAAAUCAUAAGUAUGAAAGUAAGCCAAAGCAGCUUCCUGUAGUGGGAGCGAGAAAAAGACAGCGAUGCCGUUCUACUACACAAAUCAUAUGUAUUACUUACUCCCCUUGCUGUCUAAGCAUGCAUCAUAGUUAGGGCAGCAAUCUCCCCUGUUCUCAAAAUGAAGGUGGGUGUCCCUUAAGGAAACGUAUUAGGCACCUUUCUCUACAAUUUGUACACGGCAGACAUCCCCACUCUGUAUGACAUACUCGUGUUUGCUACCCCAAGCCAACACCUGAUGGCCACUGCGAGAAUGAAGCCACUGACGGGGCCAACGAAUACAAUCACUUGCUUGAGAGAUGGGCACGAAGGUGACGAGGAGACGAUGCAGUCUUUUCAUAUUUUUCCACGAUAAAGCCUCAUGGCCCAACCAAGCUUGACGAAAUAUCACACGAGACAAUCUAAUAAACGUUUAUAAUAAAAAGGGAGAAGAUGAACGUACUAAGGGAGAAUUUAAUGAUUUGGUAUUGGAUUAGAGCUCUAUUAAAGCGUUAGCAUCGCGAUUAAAGGAGCGAAACAUCAACGGAACCGAUGAAGGAUGAGCCUUCUAUUUGGAAUGACUUCUGCGAAUAAGAAUUAAG